rnacentral:rRNA from 1 species
UACGGAGGAUCCGAGCGUUAUCCGGAUUUAUUGGGUUUAAAGGGAGCGUAGGUGGAUUGUUAAGUCAGUUGUGAAAGUUUGUGGCUCAACCAUAAAAUUGCCGUUGAAACUGGAAGACUUGAGUGUGUUUGAGGUAGGCGGAAUGCGUGGUGUAGCGGUGAAAUGCAUAGAUAUCACGCAGAACUCCGAUUGCGAAGGCAGCUUACCAGACUGAGUCUGACGCUGAUGCACGAGAGCAUGGGUAGCGAACAGG